CUCUUUCCAUUCAGUGUUCCAGGCACCUCUUUGUCUUAGUUGAGCACCUGGGAUUUGACAGGUAGUACAGUGUAGUUAGACACUGUUAACUGGUUAAAUGAAUACAAUGAAAAGUUUGUUCAUAAAUGACUGACAAUUGUUGAGAUUAUAAUGGUUUGUACAUAUAAAUAACAUUUCUUGUUAAAAAAAAAGAAAUUAAAGGUAUGAGUGAAAUAAAAUAGUAAUAUGCUGGGCACUGUUUUAAGUGUUUUGAAUGUGUUAUCUAAUACACAUAUCUUAGUAAUCCUCUUUUUUCCUGUUUUUCAGACAUGGACACUGAGGAAGAGAGAGAUCAAAUACCUCACUUAAGGUCCUACAAUUCGUACAUGGAGAAACCAGGUUCCAGUCUCAGAGAGUCUGGCUCCAGAGUCAGUUCUUCUUUUUCACUCUACAAGUAUGAUUCAUCUUACCUGGAGCCAGAUGAAUAUUUUUGUCUGUCGUCCUCAGGAGAUAGAAUGACUAUUCCAGCAAUGGCAAGUAGGGUUCAUCAGGACCCACUCUCCUUGCCUUCGUUUCUCUAUGCUGCCUAAAAUGUAGCCUCUCCUUUCAUGGCCUCUAGCCACCCCUGAACUCACUCGUUUUCAUUUUCUUGGACUCUGUCUGUGGUGGAAUGUGUGACUGAGUAUUUAUGAAAUCGUCAGGGAUGGAUCCCAAGAGCAUCACUAGACCCUGAAAUUGGGAGCGGGCAGGGGAACCUGUUCCUGCUUCUCUGUCACUCCAACAGUCUAGCACAGAGUCUGGUAUAAUUUGGAUGCUCAACAAAAUGUGUAUAAAACAAAUGAAUGAAACAAUGAAUUUUGGUAUUCUUUAUUUUUGUUUUUUGUUGUUGUUUUUUUUUGGUACCAGGGAUCGAACUCGGGUCCUUGGGCUUGCACAGCAGGCGACGAAACCACUGAGCUAAAUCCCCAGCCCAAUUUUGGUAUUCUUUAGAUGUACAUUUUGCCAACUCUUUGUGAGUAGAGAUUGUGCUAUCUAAUUCUUUUGGGUUCUCCACAGUAACCUUGUGAUAGAC
rnacentral:lncRNA from 1 species